UGGGGAAUUUUGGACAAUGGGGGAAACCCUGAUCCAGCCAUCCCGCGUGUGCGAUGAAGGCCUUCGGGUUGUAAAGCACUUUUGGCAGGAAAGAAACGUCAUGGGUUAAUACCCCGUGAAACUGACGGUACCUGCAGAAUAAGCACAGGCUAACUACGUGCCAGCAGCCGCGGUAAUACGUAGGGUGCAAGCGUUAAUCGGAAUUACUGGGCGUAAAGCGUGCGCAGGCGGUUCGGCAAGAAAGAUGUGAAAUCCCAGAGCUCAACUUUGGAACUGCAUUUUUAACUACCGGGCUAGAGUGUGUCAGAGGGAGGUGGAAUUCCGCGUGUAGCAGUGAAAUGCGUAGAUAUGCGGAGGAACACCGAUGGCGAAGGCAGCCUCCUGGGAUAACACUGACGCUCAUGCACGAAAGCGUGGGGAGCAAACAGG
rnacentral:rRNA from 1 species